rnacentral:sRNA from 1 species
GUCUAGCCCUGAUUGAAAUGGCAUCCUUUUUAUGUCAGUUCGAGUAAAUUUUGAGGAACGAAAAAUUUGUAUCGAGAACAAAGAAAAAGAUAUAAUGGAAAGCAGGAAAUAGC